GUAAAAACUUCUAUUUCGACUUCCACUGUUUUUACUAUUCUUCUCUGUAGUGUAUUUUUUAUAAAACUGAAAUAAUUUGGAAAUAGUUCAUUGAACAUAUUUUUUACCAUGUGGUAUGAAAUAUUGCCAACAUUAGCUGUUUUCGGUACAUUCUUAGCGAUACCUUGUUAUGCCCCAUGGGUUGUUAAUAUGGCUGUCCGUGGAAAGCCUGUUCACAGAACAGCUAUGGACCCUGAAGAUAGAAAAUUAACAAUGAGGGAUGAAAGACUUACAGGCCAUAUGUAUAAAAUGAAUGGUCUUGAAAGCAUCCCAGAUCCAAAAUAAGCUUUGACAAGAAGAUUAAUGUGUAGAAAAAAUGAAAAAAGUAUGAAUAAAUAAUGUUCAUGCUUUUUGAACAUUAUUUAUUAUAAUCUUAUGUAAAUCAAUUUUUUUAAAAUAUAUAAAAUAAAUAAUUUAAAAAUA